CAUCUUGGUUAGCUGAUGGAGCUAGAUGUCUCCAAGAAGGUUGUGGAUGGAGAAUUCAUGCAUCAACCACUGAGGAUGGUGGAGCAGUGCAGGUUAAGGUUCAUGAGGUUGACCAUGGCUGUCUUAGCACUAGAAAAAGCAAGAUGGUAAAGAAUGCUAAGAGAGCUGGAUUUGUGAGAAGGUUAUGGACUGGUUACGUGAGGAUGCUACUAUAGGGACAAAAGAAUUGCAAAGAAGGCUAAAGGACACACACAAGGUAUUGAUUCCGUACAAGAGAGUAUAUACCAGGAAGGACUUAGCAAUGAAUAAAUUGUAUGGUGACUGGGAUAGUAGCUUUGACAAGUUGUAUGGUUGGAAGGCAGAGGUUUAGAAGAGGUCCCCCGGUAGUAUUGUUGCCAUUGACCAUAUGACAUUCAAGGACAAGAAGAGAUUUAGAAGGUUAUUUGUAGCACUGCAGCCUUGUGUUGAAGGCUUUUUAGAAGGUUGUAGGCCAUACUUAGCAAUUGAUAGUACACACUUGACUGGAAAGUAUAGAGGGCAGCUAGCAACUACAUGUGCUAUUGAUGGACACAGUUGGUUAUACCCAGUGGCCUAUGGUAUUAUUGAC